GAUGAAGAACGUAGCGAAAUGCGAUAAGUAAUGUGAAUUGCAGAAUUCAGUGAAUCAUCGAAUCUUUGAACGCACAUUGCGCCCGCUGGUAUUCCGGCGGGCAUGCCUGUUCGAGCGUCAUUUCAACCCUCAAGCUCUCCGGAGUUUGGUGUUGGGGCGCCUGGGGCUUCUCGACCUCAGGGCCCUCAAGUCCAUCGGCGGGACCGCCAGGACACUGAGCGCAGUAGUAUUAUUUCGCUCGGUAGGAUCUUCCACGGCGGGUCGAUCUGGCCGCUAAACCCCCCAAUUCUCACCAAAGGUUGACCUCGGAUCAGGUAGGAAUACCCGCUGAACUUAAGCAUAUCAAUAAGCGGAGGA
rnacentral:misc_RNA from 1 species